UACGUAGGGACCGAGCGUUGUCCGGAUUCAUUGGGCGUAAAGAGCUCGUAGGCGGCUGCUCAAGUCGAAUGUGAAAACUCGAGGCUCAACCUCGAGCCUGCAUUCGAUACUGGGCGGCUAGAGUCUGGUAGGGGGAUCUGGAAUUCCUGGUGUAGCGGUGGAAUGCGCAGAUAUCAGGAGGAACACCGGUGGCGAAGGCGGGAUCCUGGGCCAGUACUGACGCUCAUGCACGAAAGCGUGGGGAGCAAACAGG
rnacentral:rRNA from 1 species